ACAUGCACCGAUCAGAGGAAUCCACUUGUUUACAUAUUAUGCAGUCACAUUUGCUUUAUUUUAUGUUGAAAAUGUUUAAUUACACUUUAUUAGAGGAAAUUUGUUGAUCCUGAGGUGAAUGCGGUUGUGGAGUCCGCCACCAGGGGGCAGUGUGGCGUGAAGGCAGAGUGAACCGCGUUGCAGCUUCCGCUGGUUCCUGAUUCAUCAUUUCUGCUGUUCAUUCAGGAAUCUGAAGGCGAUGAAGGAACGUGUCUGGAAUCUGGAGAAUUCCCCUGCAGCUCAGCCCUUUGCUUCCCUCCUGCCUGGUUCUGGUUCUGGUUCUGUCACCUGAUUGGUGGAUCAGACGGACAGCCAGCGGCUCGACGCCGCAGCGAAACUUUCUGCAGGAUCCAAACAUGCUGCAGGAUUCCUGCAUCAAACAUGGAGGGAAAAACUCACCUGUCCAGUUUCCUCUGAUCAGAGCAGAAACUGGACCGACGUAUCGACUGUUUAGUCUCACUGCUGUCUGAGGAAAGUGUCUCUGUCCCUCGUCCAGCGGCAUGAAGAGGGAAACGAAACACCUUGACUUUCACUUUUCCUUGCGAAACUUCAAGCCAUGAGAAUCCAGCAGCAGCGACGACGACGAUGAUGAUGAUGAUGAUGAUGAUGCAGCCAGUCACGUCGCCGUUUCCUGCGGCGCUCAGGAAAAAGAAGCGAACCCAGAGCUGAGCCCAGAGGCACCCCUGGAUUAAUCUGAAAGGUUAACGGAGAACCGCAGCUGGAGCCUCCACACACACCAGAACCAGAACCGGGCUGGGUUUGUCCUCAUCAGUCUGGAGGAAGGCUGUCGGUCUGUGUUUUCUGUUAAAAUCAU